GAUGAACGCUGACAGAAUGCUUAACACAUGCAAGUCUUUGGCGAAGCUGUGCUUGCACCGCCUAGCCAAGGCGGACGGGUGAGUAACGCGUAAGGAACUUGCCCUGCAGUCAGGGAUAACAGACGGAAACGACUGAUAAGACCUGGUAAAGUCAGGCGGACUCAUGUCCAGCCUGAUGAAAAGAGAUGCUGCAGGAGAGCCUUGCGUCCUAUUAGCUUGUUGGUGGGGUAACGGCCCACCAAGGCGAUGAUAGGUAGCCGGCCUGAGAGGGUGGACGGCCACAAGGGGACUGAGAUACGACCCUUACUCCUACGGGAGGCAGCAGUGGGGAAUAUUGGACAAUGGGGGCAACCCUGAUCCAGCAAUUCUGUGUGCACGAUGAAGGUUUUCGGAUUGUAAAGUGCUUUCAGCAGGGAAGAAAAAAUGACGGUACCUGCAGAAGAAGCGACGGCUAAAUACGUG
rnacentral:rRNA from 1 species